rnacentral:lncRNA from 1 species
ACCUCAUUUUCUCUUCAAGCAAGCUUUUCCCACUAUAACGACAAGCGGCUAACCAAACACGCUCCUUCCCUCCCAACCAUGACACACACACACACUCACACACAUUUCAGAGGAGAGGAAUUGAAAGGAAAACAGAUCCUCUCAGAAAAAACCCUGACGUUUUGGCCCCGAUGAUGUAAUGUGUCAGGAAAAUCUAACUAACCACAUCCAACCCACGAGUCUCGAGUGACAGAAGGAGUAAACAAAAAGAGCGAAACAAAUGAACCGUCCAAGAGUAGCCAGGCAGUAAACGUGUGAAGCACAGAAGUGACAGCAAAAGUCCUUUUUUUCCUUCCCCGCUUGACUUUGUUCUCUUCAGUUUGUCCACUUUUAUGCCUUUUGGCCUCAGUCUGGAGUAAAAAAAGUCCUUCAGACCCUCCUCCUCUCUCGUGCAGCACUCUUUUUAUUAGCUCCCUCUUGUAACACACUCCCUCUCAUCGCUUGUCAGAGCUUGCUGGUGACAAAAUGGUUUUACGUUCUAAUAACUUCUCUCUCCCACUCAAGCUCACUCACUCGCUCUUCUUUCAAGUUGCCGUUGCUUCACUAGAGCCGAAAGCUCUCCGCCCAGGAAAUGAGGCUAACAGACUCUCUGAAAUCUGUUCUCACACAGUACUUCUCUUAUACUGGCCAGGAAGCCCUUAGCAGCUUCUGGAAGAAUCACACACACACAGAGAGAGAGUGAAAGGACAGGCAGGUAAAUAACAUGGGCAUAACACUAAUGUCUGGCCAAAACAACCACACACCUUUUUAAAUGACUGCCAAUGUAAGAUGAUGGCAGACACACUGGAACACUCUCUCAAACCGAACCUGACGAGCUGCACAACAAACAGCUCACUGUUAUCAAGACCACAUUUAUGUCAUGCGGUUAACUGUGGGACAGACAAUUUGGGUUUGUGGGUACAGCCAACACCACCGGCCUGCAAACUUUCUCACAAACUGAAACCAGGCUCCAAACCAGAGAGAUGGCUUGCACCAGCACACACUUCUAGAGGCCACAAACUCAAGCGGCGCUGUGAAGCUGAAUACACUGAACAUGCUGUCUCAGAACCUGUGUGUGAAUAUUGUCAUUCUCACUAA